UGGGAAUAUUGCACAAUGGGGGAAACCCUGAUGCAGCAACGCCGCGUGAGUGAAGAAGUAUUUCGGUAUGUAAACCUCUUUUGUCGGGGAGUAACGUGCGGGACGCGUCCCGUAUUGAGAGUACCCGAAGAAAAGCAUCGGCUAACUCCGUGCCAGCAGCCGCGGUAAUACGGAGGAUGCGAGCGUUAUCCGGAUUUAUUGGGUUUAAAGGGUGCGCAGGCGGCGCGCCAAGUCAGCGGUCAAAGUUCCGGGCUCAACCCGGUGUCGCCGUUGAAACUGGCGUGCUCGAGUGCGUGCGAGGAAGGCGGAAUGCGUUGUGUAGCGGUGAAAUGCAUAGAUAUGACGCAGAACUCCGAUUGCGAAGGCAGCUUUCCAGCGCGCUACUGACGCUGAGGCACGAAAGCGUGGGGAUCGAACAGGAUUAGAUACCCUGGUAGU
rnacentral:rRNA from 1 species